CCUACGGGAUGCAGCAGUGGGGAAUAUUGCACAAUGGGCGAAACUCUGAUCCAGCGACGCCGCGUGCGUGAAGAAGGAUCUCGGUAUGUAAAGCUGCAUCAGCACGGAAGUAAAUGUCGGUACCUGAUUAAGAAGCCCCGGCUAAAUACGUGCCAGCAGCCGUGGUAAUACGGAGGGGGCAAGCGUUAUCCGGAUUUACUGGGUGUAAAGGGCGCGUAGGCGGCUGGACAAGUCUGGAGUGAAAUGCCCGGGCUUAACCCGGGAACUGCUUUGGAAACUGUGGAGCUAGAGUGCAGGUGAGGUAGGUGGAAUUCCUGGUGUAGCGGUGAAAUGCGUAGAGAUUAGGAAGAACACCAAUGGCGAAGGCAGCUUACUGAACUGUAACUGACGUUGAGGCUCGAAAGCGUGGGGAGCAAACAGGAUUAGAUACCCCAGUAGUC
rnacentral:rRNA from 1 species